GUGCUCGCUUUGGCAGUGCAUAUACCAAAAUUGGAACGAUACAGAGAAGAUUAGCUUGGCCCCUGCGCAAGGAGGACAUGCAAAUUUGUGAAGCGUUCCAUANAUUA
rnacentral:snRNA from 1 species